AUUGAACGCUGGCGGAAUGCUUUACACAUGCAAGUCGAACGGCAGCACGGACUUCGGUCUGGUGGCGAGUGGCGAACGGGUGAGUAAUGUAUCGGAACGUGCCCAGUCGUGGGGGAUAACGUAGUGAAAAUUACGCUAAUACCGCAUACGAUCUAUGGAUGAAAGCGGGGGCUCGCAAGACCUCGCGCGACUGGAGCGGCCGAUAUCAGAUUAGGUAGGUGGUGGGGUAAAGGCCCACCAAGCCAACGAUCUGUAGCGGGUGUGAGAGGACGACCAGCCACACGGGAACUGAGACACGGUCCAGACUCCUACGGGAGGCAGCAGUGGGGAAUGUUGGACAAUGGGCGAAAGCCUGAUCCAGCCAUUCCGCGUGCAGGAUGAAGGCCCUCGGGUUGUAAACUGCUUUUGUACAGAACGAAAAGGUUUCUACUAAUACUAGGAGCUCAUGGCGGUACUGUAAGAAUAAGCACCGGCUAACUACGUGCCAGCCGCCGCGGUAA
rnacentral:rRNA from 1 species